CGCAGCGCGCUCCCCGCAACCACCCGCGCCCCGCGCGCAGGGCCUCGCGCCCAGGACACACCUGAGUGUCCUUCCCCUUCGCGGACCGCGGGCCGGGGACUCCCGGGAGUGGGCGCAAGCGCUGGACGCACAACAGGCGAGAGUCAGUGGGAGGCCCGGGCCGCUUUAUUCGUCCAGGGACAGCGCCCCACCCUCGCCCCUCCGCCCGCUGCCCCCCCGGCGCCCCCGCGCUCAGCGCCCGUUGCGGGGGCCGCGCAGCUGCCCCAUCAUGUCGGCCAGCAUGCGGUUGCACAGCGCGGCGUAGGGGUUGAGCAGCACCAGCUGGCGCCGCGCGAACGGGCUGCCCAGCCGCGCCGCGCGCUCGAAGUCCCUGCGGGCGUCGUCGUCCCGGCCCUGCAGCCGCGCCAGGAGCCCGCGCUGCACGAAGCUCUGGCGGGCGACGCGGCCCUGGCCGCCGCUCAGAGACACCGCGCGCUCCAGGUCCAACCCAGCAACGUCUCCAAAUGGGGUAUCAGGGUUGAAGAUGGCCUGCAACACGGCCUGAUCAUUUGGAGUUCCCAUGGUGCUCAACUCCAAAAUCCGAGAGAAGAGGCAGGAAGAAGGGAUGGGGACUGACAUCCACAGCUGACAGAGAAAAGCUUGGAAGAACACAAGGAAAAAAAAAAAAACAAAAGAUCUGUUAUACAUGAUAAAGUUGUCAAGAAAUGUCUUAUUUCUAGAAAAGAAGCUUGUCAUCUGUUGAGCUCUUGAAACAAUUAUUCAACUACCUGUAUUUACUAAAGAGACUGUUAAAAGUUCAAUAAAAGAAACACCACAA